GCUGGAGGCCACUUGGCAGUCUUGGGCAUGCCUUCAUGUUCCUGCUCCCCUUGACUCCUUGUGUGCCUCAACAACAAGCUCUUCUGCACUGAAGAGGCACUGGCAGGUGCUGGCAUCUUUUGAUUCAGAGAGGAGGAGAAAACAUUUUGGAGCCAGGAGGAGUCAGGGAGCUAAGGAUCCCUCUGCCUCUUCUUUUGGGAGGUGAUGCUGUUGAUAUUCCGUCCUGUUCAGGCUGGGCGAGCAGAAUUAGGUUUUCUGAUAAAUCACAUGUGACACUACUGAUUUUGACUGAAAUACUUCAGUUUAUGCACGUAUCAACUUCAGUUAGGGCAAAUUCUGAAGACAGAUAAUUUAUGUGCCAAAACAAUACCCGAGGAAUUUGAGAUAGACUGGAAAUAGUUGUCUAUUUCUGCUGACCCCAGGAAAACCUUUUAGAAAACCAAGAAAAGCAGGGAAGAGGAAAGGUUUGGGGCAAGAAGAUAGGACUAAACUGGGAGCUCGGGCUGGGGACCAUUAGAUUGCAUACCAGGUCGGGACGAGGUGGGAGGAGAGCAGUGAGGAACAACAAUGACAGAGCCUGGAAACUGGUAGGGUCCUACCAGGAGAAGCCUACAUGAUGCUGUCUCUGUGCUCACCAGCUGAACAGCUUGUCAUGUGCAAGAUGCUUCAUCACUUCCUCAGAGACAGAAGAAGCCCUUGUCAGCUACAAAACACCCCUCAUCCUUUGGCAACAGCUGAACUCACUCAGCAUUAUGCAGAACUGCAGUUUCAGCCCAUGUCUCCCCAGCUGAGGGUAAAGAUCCAUAAUGGGGUCAAGACCAAUUAUCUCAUCUGUUGCUUCUUGGUGGAGGACUACUGACAGGAUUCAGUUGCUGGAGAAAGGGAGGAGACAGGCGUAUCCCAAGACUAAAUGCUUCUGGGAGGUGAUUAACCAUGUGCAGGAGGGUGAUCCAAGUGAGAAAGCUCCCAGCAGAACCCUCUGCAAGGUCUGGGCUAAACGAUGCCCUGCAACUUGGUGUCUGGGGCUUCACUAAAGGUGUUGCAAAAGGCCAAGUCUGGAUGGAAAUGAGCCUGGUUUGGCACUUGUGUCAUUUGGGAAACUUGCUAGCUUUUCACCAACACCUCUGUCUCUCAGUGGGAUGAAAAACACACUGCAACAGCCUAUGUGAGCUGGCAAGAGCCAGUGAAUUAUGAACAAGGACAAUUAUUUAGCCAGACUGCCAUUUACUCUGCAUCCCUGUUCUCUUGUAUGUAUCUCUCUCUGCCAAGCACAGCUGGGCUCAUGAAAGCAAAUGAAAAGAAGAUGAGACUAAGUUCCCCUGAUGGAUUCUUCAUCCUUUCUCCGAAUGCUACCCGAGUCAUUUUUCAGCCAUCGGAAGGGAUCGUGAUGACAUCUCCCUUAAAUCACUAGUACUAAUGAUUUCUAGCCUGAAUGGGAAACUUGUAAUUGUUGGCAAGGAAAGACAGAUAGAAGGAACAAACUCUUCUGAGAAAUGUCCUAGUGCAGGACUCUGAAAUGUCUUGUUUCACCACGGAGUGCAGUAGGCAUUAAAGUCUUUCAACACAACUCUGUAGUUCCAUUUUCCCUGCCUGUCUGAGCAGGAAACCUCUAAGCAUGUGAAGUUCUUUGGAGCAAGAAACAAGGCUGCUCCCUACCUACUUUUUUGUUGGCAUGUAGUGAGAGAGGAACUGUUUCAAUGCCUGCCAGUGGUCUUCCACAUACUUGUGGAGCUUUAGUGCUGGCAGAUGUCUGUUCUUCUUCCCAGGGUAUUUUCUGAAGUCUAGUUUGUUCCUUCAGCCAUAUGGUGAUCAAGCUUUCUCAGUGCCUGCAGUGCUUUCAAGAGCUUGGCUUUGUUCUGUGACUGGUUUUGGCCAGCUUUGUGUAAAACAUUCUCCACAGGUGCCCAGCUGGAUGCCUGCAGAAGGUGCAACACCGUCUGGCUAAUGAGGCCACAGCACAGAACCAGCCCCUGGCCCCGGCCAGGUACCAGGCUGGUACCAGCCCCUCAGAGCCCAUCCUGACACCGUGUUCCUGCACAUGCUCCCUCCCAGGAGAAACAACCCUCUGGAAUCACACAGUGAACAAGAACCCUUUUUCCCCUGGGAGACCCGACAGCAGCAGCAGAACAGCAGAGCAUCCGUCAUGCACCACCGUGCCAGGAGGAGGAAGGGGGGGGGGGCUUUGCCUUGUACCACUGGCUGCCAGUGCCUUCCAUCUAUUUAUUUUUGAUGAAGGGUUCUAGUUCCUGCAGAAGAGCAUGGGACAGUGCCUGGUGGGGCAGAGGGUUGGGUCCUUGUUCACAUUGCCCUCACAUGUUGUCUGCCUGUGUUGCAGGGGUGGCUGAAAUCAGCCUGGUUCUUGAGCACCACAGCGUCCACUCAUGAGGACAAGGAGAGGAUGUAACUUCUCUUCAGACUGGCCUCUGUAUGUCAGAAGCUCUUAUGCUGCUCUCUAGACAGAGCUUUCCAGCAGUGUAACCUGACAUCCACAUGCACCUCUAUCCCACACCAGAACCCAAAGGAAGAAGCAGAGAGCGAGCUAUACAGCCCUGGAAAGAGGAUGUGAGAAAAUGGCCAACAGGUCCACUGUGUUGUACUGCUGAUCCAGGGUUGGCUUGUAAGGUGUAGGUCCUCACCCUUGCUCCAAAUUACUGCUGCCCACUCUUGGGGUAGUGCCUAAAGCAGUCAGAUCAUUGCUCUGAUCUCAUGUUCUCUCUGGUCCACAACUGUAGCAACAUCAGAGUAAAACCAUACCUCUGUAUGGACCUGCACACUGGCAAAGCACAGGGAAAACAGAGGGACAUAAUAUAUAUGUUAUUUGCAGAGGGCUAUGUACACCACUGGGGCUUGCUGACCCAACCUUCUUCUGAAAUCAUUCUAGAGGACCAUUUAUUUGUCCAUGCGUAUGUAUAUAUAUAGACUUAGGUCUAUUUGGGGGUGUGAAUACAUGUGUAUGGGACGGGAAAUGAAGAAGCAUAUUGAAUAAUGCAUGAGAGAGAUGGCAGAUUACAAUGCUUUUUCUAAAAUAACUAAUAGCAGCAAUAAAGCAAAAGCCUGA